GAUGAAGAACGCAGCGAAAUGCGAUACGUAAUGUGAAUUGCAGAAUUCAGUGAAUCAUCGAGUCUUUGAACGCACAUUGCGCCCACUGGUAUUCCGGGGGGCAUGCCUGUCCGAGCGUCAUUGCUGCCCUCAAGCACGGCUUGUGUGUUGGGCCUCCGUCCUCCUCCCGGGGGACGGGCCCGAAAGGCAGCGGCGGCACCGCGUCCGGUCCUCGAGCGUAUGGGGCUUCGUCACCCGCUCUUGUAGGCCCGGCCGGCGCUUGCCGACACAUCAAUCUUUUUUCCAGGUUGACCUCGGAUCAGGUAGGGAUACCCGCUGAACUUAAGCAUAUCAAUAAGCGGAGGA
rnacentral:misc_RNA from 1 species